CUGUGUUUGUUUUUGGUCUGUGUUUGUUUUUUGUUGUUCGCUCCUUUCACUGCAGGUCAUUUCUCUGCUCAGCGCUGGUAGACAGUAUCAGCUAUUUUCCUACCUGCUCAGGGGGGGUGCCUGCCACAUCCAGGGAGGAGCUUGGCACCAGUGUGGGGGGGUCACUAGCUGCACCUUUUCCUGGAGCGGUUGAUGAGAAUCCAGUGGUGUCUCUUGUGACUUUGGCCUGAAAAUUAUUUCUUUUGUAUACUUUUGCACCCUAGCAAAGUAGUGGGUGCUUUUAUUAUUUUCUUUUGAUACUUUGUGCACUAGUAAAUUGGUGUGUGCCUUGUGUUUUUUUUAUUUUUAUUUUUGGUAACCCCUGGUACUACCGAAAUGAUAUUAUCAUAUUUCAAUGAUUUUAUAAGGAUAAUAAACAUUGUUUAUUGCGAAA